rnacentral:rRNA from 1 species
CUGGAGGUAUCAGAAGUGCGAAUGCUGACAUAAGUAACGAUAAAGCGGGUGAAAAGCCCGCUCGCCGGAAGACCAAGGGUUCCUGUCCAACGUUAAUCGGGGCAGGGUGAGUCGACCCCUAAGGCGAGGCCGAAAGGCGUAGUCGAUGGGAAACGGGUUAAUAUUCCCGUACUUGGUGUUACUGCGAAGGGGGGACGGAGAAGGCUAUGUUGGCCGGGCGACGGUUGUCCCGGUUUAAGCGUGUAGGUGUGUGUUCCAGGUAAAUCCGGUUCACUUUAACACUGAGGCGUGACGACGAGGCACUACGGUGCUGAAGCAACAAAUGCCCUGCUUCCAGGAAAAGCCUCUAAGCAUCAGGUAACAUCAAAUCGUACCCCAAACCGACACAGGUGGUCAGGUAGAGAAUACCAAGGCGCUUGAGAGAACUCGGGUGAAGGAACUAGGCAAAAUGGUGCCGUAACUUCGGGAGAAGGCACGCUGACACGUAGGUG